GACGAACGCUGGCGGCGUGCUUAACACAUGCAAGUCGAACGGUAAGGCCUUUCGGGGUCCACGAGUGGCGAACGGGUGAUUAACACGUGGGUGAUCUGCCCUGCACUUCGGGAUAAGCCCGGGCCACUUGGUCUCAUACCUGCUCGGACUUCGCGGUGCAUGCCUUGUGGUGGAAAGAUUUAUCGGUGUAGGAUGGGCCCGCGGCCUAUCAGCUUGUUGGUGGGGUAAUGGCCUACCAAGUCGACGACGGGUAGCCGGCCUGAGAGGGCGACCGGCCACACUGGGACUGAGAAACGGCCAAGACUCCUACGGGAGGAAGCAGUAGGGAAUAUUGCACAAUGGGCGCAAGCCUGAUGCAGCGACGCCGCGUGAGGGAUGACGGCCUUAGGGUUGUAAACCUCUUUCAGCAGGGACGAAGCGUGAGUGACGGUACCUGCAGAAGAAGCACCGGCCAACUACGUG
rnacentral:rRNA from 1 species